rnacentral:rRNA from 1 species
UACGAGGGGGGCGAGCGUUGUUCGGAAUUAUUGGGCGUAAAGGGUGCGUAGGCGGUUCCGCAAGUCCUGUGUGAAAUCUUCGGGCUCAACUCGAAGUCUGCACGGGAAACUGCGGGGCUUGAGUGUGGGAGAGGUGAGUGGAAUUCCCGGUGUAGCGGUGAAAUGCGUAGAUAUCGGGGGGAACACCGGUGGCGAAGGCGGUUCUCUGGGCCUGUACUGACGCUGAGGAGCGAAAGCGUGGGGAGCGAACAGG